CUCAAUUCAUAAGGGCAGAAGAAACACUUCUGAGAAAUUCCCUGGAACACAUCCCAUGCUCAAAGAACAAGACGGUCUGUAAAAGUUUGAAUUAUUGCUUUCUCAAAUCAGAAUUGGUGCUGGAAAAAUCAUCUGGAAACAGCAUUGGGCAAUCUCUAGAUUUAGUGAGAAGAAAGAAAUAUGAUAUAAUUUGAACUGCCUGCUAGGAGCUACCUGAGAAUGUGCAUUACACAAAUACAGCAGAUGAGGCUUGCAAGGAAUUCUCCCAGAAGUAGAUCUUCUGGGAUGGUCAGAUCUGUGUGAGAAAGGACUCAGCAUCCUCCCUGAUGAGCUCAGUAAUACAUGACCUCUUACCAGAGGAGGCCAUCUUGCUAAAGCAGCACUCACACAACAUCGCUUUUGACAGCCAGCACGCUGCAAGAAGCCGACAGCAAACAUCAGACCAUCUGAGGAUGUGUUCAGCAAGCAAGAGACAAACUGUGAUAUUUGUUCCUUGUUGCAGAACUGGUGGGCCUGCUACAGGAAAGUGUGCUGAG